GACGAACGCUGGCGGCGUGCUUAACACAUGCAAGUCGAGCGGUAAGGCCCUUUCGGGGGUACACGAGCGGCGAACGGGUGAGUAACACGUGGGUGACCUGCCCUCAGCUCUGGGAUAAGCCCGGGAAACUGGGUCUAAUACCGGAUAUGACUUCAUGACGCAUGUUGUGGAGUGGAAAGCCUUGUGCGGCUGAGGAUGGGCCCGCGGCCUAUCAGCUUGUUGGGUGGGGUGANGGCCUACCAAGGCGACGACGGGUAGCCGGCCUGAGAGGGCGACCGGCCACACUGGGACUGAGAUACGGCCCAGACUCCGUACGGGAGGCAGCAGUGGGGAAUCUUGCGCAAUGGGCGAAAGCCUGACGCAGCGACGCCGCGUGA
rnacentral:rRNA from 1 species